rnacentral:rRNA from 1 species
CAGUCGCCGCGGGAAUACGGAGGAUCCAAGCGUUAUCCGGAAUCAUUGGGUUUAAAGGGUCCGUAGGCGGUCUUGUAAGUCAGUGGUGAAAGCCCAUCGCUCAACGGUGGAACGGCCAUUGAUACUGCAGGACUUGAAUUAUUGGGAAGUAACUAGAAUAUGUAGUGUAGCGGUGAAAUGCUUAGAGAUUACAUGGAAUACCAAUUGCGAAGGCAAGUUACUACCAAUUGAUUGACGCUGAUGGACGAAAGCGUGGGUAGCGAACAGGAUUAGAUACCCCAGUAGUCCCUGUCUCUUAUAC